rnacentral:rRNA from 1 species
AUGCGGUAUGACGGUACCCUUUCGAAUAAGAGGUUGCUAACUCUGUGCCAGCAGCAGCGGUAAUACAGAGACCUCGAGCGUUAUCCGGAUUUACUGGGCGUAAAGCGUCUGUAGGGGGUUUGUUAAGUUCCAAGUAAAAUCUUAAGGCUCAACUUUAAGUUCGCUUGGAAAACUAAUAAACUGGAGUCCAGCAGAGGUGCAUGGAACUUGCGGUGUAGGAGUGAAAUCCGUUGAUAUCGCAAGGAACACCAAAGGCGAAGGCAUUGCACUGGGCUGGUACUGACCCUGAGAGACGAAAGCGUGGGGAGCAAAACGGAUUAGAUACCCGUGUAGUCCACGCCGUAAACGAUGGAUACUAGAUGUUCGGGGAUUCGACCCCCUGGGUGUCACAGCUAACGCGUUAAGUAUCCCGCCUGGGAAGUACGGCCGCAAGGCUAAAACUCAAAGGAAUAGACGGGGAUCCGCACAAGCGGUGGAGCGUCUGGUUUAAUUUGAUAGUAAGCAAUGGACCUCACCAAGGUUUGACAUCCUAUGACAACCCUGGAAACAGGGCUUCCUUCGGGCAUAGUGACAGGUGCUGCAUGGUCGUCGUCAGUUCGUGCCGUGAGGUGUUCCGUUAAGUCGGGAAACGAACGAAACCCUCGUCGCAUGUUACAAAUUUCAUGCGAGACUGCCCGGGUCAACCGGGAGGAAGGCGGGGAUGACGUCAGAUCAGCAUGGCCCUUAUACCUUGGGCUACACAGGCGCUACAAUGGCCGGUACAAAGGGUUGCAAAACCGCGAGGUGAAGCUAAUCCCAUAAAGCCGGUCCAAGUUCGGAUUGGAGGCUGCAACUCGCCUCCAUGAAGUUGGAAUCGCUAGUAAUCGUGGAUCAGCCAUACCACGGUGAAUACGUUCCCGGAUCUUGUAC